GCCUGAGCCACGGUGCCACAGACUCCUCUGACAGGAUGGUGUUUCAUCAAAGGGUGAGUCAGCACUGUUGAUUUUGGAACCAUUUGGAACCAGCAGUGACCAGCAUGAGGCAGUUUGAGAGUUCUGCUGCUUUCAUCUAGAAAGGAUUUGGUAGAACUGGUAAAGAUGCAAGAGUGAUUAAAGUUGCUCACAGGAUGGAUUGAGAAGACUUGGACUUUGCAGCCUGGAAAAGAAUUAUUUAAGGGAUGGCAGGGGGAAGGAAAGAGGGGACAAACAUCCUAAGGCUUCUGUCCAUUUGGAAAACUGGGAGAGGAACUCUAUCAACAGAAAACAAAUGCUGUCACAUAGACACAGUAUUGUCAUGCAGAAGAAAACAAAAUCAGCUCAGCUGUCAGCAUGUCCUUGUUUGGCUAAGUUCCAGUCCUUGCAGCAGAAAUUUGA